rnacentral:rRNA from 1 species
CGGACGAACGCUGGCGGCGUGCCUAAAAACAUGCAAGUCGAACGGUCCGAUUGAAAGAUUGGAUAGUGGCGGACGGGUGAGUAACACGUGAGCAACCUGGCUUAAAGAGGGGGAUAACGCAGGGAAACCUGUGCUAAUACCGCAUAAAAUGUAUUGACCGCAUGGGCGAUACAUCAAAGGAGAAAUCCGCUUUAAGAUGGGCUCGCGUCCGAUUAGAUAGUUGGCGGGGUAACAGCCCACCAAGUCUACGAUCGGUAGCCGGACUGAGAGGUCGAACGGCCACAUUGGGACUGAGAUACGGCCCAGACUCCUACGGGAGGCAGCAGUUGGGGAUAUUAGGCAAUGGGGGAAACCCUGACCUAGCAACGCCGCGUGAAGGAAGAAGGUCUUCGGAUUGUAAACUUCUUUGACGAGGGAAGAAUAAUGACGGUACCUCGAAAACAAGCCACGGCUAACUACGUG